rnacentral:rRNA from 1 species
CCUACGGGAGGCAGCAGCUAAGAAUCUUCCGCAAUGGGCGAAAGCCUGACGGAGCGACGCCGCGUGGACGAAGAAGGCCGUAAGGUUGUAAAGUCCUUUUCUUAGCGAAGAAUAAGGUCGAGAGUGGAAUGCUCGGCUGAUGACGUUAGCUAAGGAAUAAGCCCCGGCCAAUUACGUGCCAGCAGCCGCGGUAAU